AGGUACAUCAGGUAGCUUGGAUUCAAGUGAAUUCCAUUUGGUGCCUGGAAGAUCUGAUUGAGGACUUGAUCUUUUCAAAAUUUUGUAGGAUAAAAUUAUCAACUGGUUGGAUCAGGAAACUGGUAUAUUCAUUAUAUGUCUGGCACUUAGAUUUUUCUUAUACAAAGGUUUUCAUGUCACCGGGCAGGGUGAGAUUGAGCUUGGACUUCUGAGAGUUGUGUGUUCUGCUGCCAGAGUAUAUCUAUACCUCUCCAUCAAUUGGAUGAUUAGUUUGCAAGGAAAUCAAAUUUAAUGGAUGUUAAUCAAGUCCUGUGAUUUUGUAAGAGCUUUGUUCACCAACUAGACUACAGAGACAUCAACUGGAAACUUAAUGCGACCAUGUGGUAAUCUGUUGGGUGGUAGAAUGAUAUCGAACUUGAAGGAUAGCAACUGUCAGACCAAUUGAAGACACAAAGGAUGCAAAAGGGACCAGCUGUAUGGUUAUCUAACUACCAAUUAUUUUACUAAUU